rnacentral:lncRNA from 1 species
UGUGUGUGUGUGUGUGUGUGUGUGUGUGUGUGUGUGUGUGUGCGUGUGUGUGCGUGUGCGUGUGUGUGGAAACCAGAAGCAACCAGCAGUCUGAGUCAAUGAUUGACAACGGGUACCUCCCGCUCUCUCAUCUCAUCUCAUCUUACCUCCACCUCCUCCCCCCUUCAUCUCCUCUCCUACCAUCCUCUCCUCCUCUUCCUCUCUUCCCCUUUCUAUCUUCCCCUUCCUCUCCUCUCCUCCCUGUCUCUCUCACCUCCCCCUCCUCUCCUUCCUCUCCUCCCUCUCCCCUUUCCCCUCAUUCUCACCCCUUCUUCAUUCUCAACCCUUCCUCUUCCAACCAGGCUCAUUUGCAUAGGAUGCCUGAUUUGCAUACAUAUGAGGGAAAGAGAAAAGGGGACUUGAAGAGAGGAGGGGAGAGGAGAUGAGGAGAAGAGAGAAGAGGAGAUAUGCAGACGUUUACUGAUGAAAAGGAAGAGAAGGCCCUUUCACAGCUUCUCUCUCUCCCCCUCCCCCGCUCUAUCUUUCUUUCUCUCUCUCUGCUCUCUCUUUCUCUCUGUUCUCUCCCUUUGGUUCACACCUCAGAGAGAUCCUGUGAAGGCCCUAUUAACAUCUACUCUUCCUCACUCUGAAAGGAAAGAAAAGAGGAGGUGAUGAGAGAGGAGACAGAGAGAGGACAGAGAAGGGAAGAGACAGAACAGAGGAGAGAGGAGAGAGGACAGAGGAGAGAGGACAGAGGAGGUGAGGAGAGAGGACAGAGGACAGAGGAGAGAGGACAGAGGACAGAGGAGAGAGGACAGAGGAGAGGAACAGAGGAGGUGAGGAGAGAGGACAGAGGACAGAGGACAGAGGAGGUGAGGAGAGAGGACAGAGGAGAGAGGACAGAGGAGAGAGAACAGAGAGGAGAGAGGACAGAGAAGAGAGGACAGAGGAGAGAGAACAGAGGUGAGGAGAGAGGACAGAGGAGAGAGAACAGAGGUGAGGAGAGUAGACAGAGGAGAUAGGACAGAGGAGGGUCGGGGGAGAACAGAGGACAGAGGAGAGAUGACAGAGGAGAGAGAACAGAGGACAGAGGAGAGAGGAUAGAGGAGAGAGAACAGAGGAGAGAGGACAGAGGAGAGAGGGCAGAGAGAGGAGAGAGGAUGGAGGAGAGAGGACAGAGAGAGAGAACAGAGGAGAGAGGACAGAGGAGAGAGGACAGAGGAGAGAGAACAGAGGAGAGAGGAGAGAGGACAGAGGGGAGAGGACAGAGGAGAGAGAACAGAGGAGGUGAGGAGAGAGGACAGAGGAGAGAGGACAGAGGAGAGAGAACAGAGGAGAGAGGACAGAGAACAGAGGAGGUGAGGAGAGAGGACAGAGGAGAGAGGACAGAGGAGAGAACAGAGGAGAGAGGAGAGAGGACAGAGGAGAGAGAACAGAGGAGGUGAGGAGAGAGGACAGAGGAGAGAGGACAGAGGAGAGAGGACAGAGGAGAGAGAACAGAGGAGAGAGGACAGAGGAGAGAGGAGAGAGGUCAGAGGAGAGAGGACAGUGUUGUUGCUAUGGCAGUGUUGUUGCCAUGGUGUUGUUGUUGCCAUGGCUGCAUUGUUGCCAUGGCAUUGUUGCCAUGUUGGUGUUGUUGCUGUGGCAGUAUUGUUGCCAUUGCGUUGUUGUUGCCAUGGCUGAAUUGCACUCCACUGCAACCCCUCAGUUGAAAGUCAUUGAUUGGCUGUGAAGCCUUCAUUCUCCCCUGCAGGGCGGCCGGGCUACAGCUCUACUCUACUCUAUUCUACUCUAUUCUGCUCUACACUGUUCUACUCUACACUACACCUCCAGGAGGUACAGAGCACCCCUACGCCCCACACACACACAUGCUAGAGACAUACACACACAAACCUACAUGCAUAUUAACACCCUCAGAGGUUGGGAUACUGUGGAAGAGAGAUAUCUUUGAAAGCAGGGAUUGAGAGAUAGAAAUAGAGGGAGGAGAAGAGAAGAAAGGAGAGAUUGAGAGAGAAAUAGAGGGAGGAGAAGAGAAGAAAGGCGAGAUUGAGAGAUAGAAAUAGAGGGAGGAGAAGAGAAGAAAGGAGAGAUUGAGAGAGAAAUAGAGGGAGGAGAAGAGAAGAAAGGAGAGAUUGAGAGAGAAAUAGAGGGAGGAGAAGAGAAGAAAGGAGAGAUUGAGAGAUAGAAAUAGAGGGAGGAGAAGAGAAGAAAGGAGAGAUUGAGAGAUAGAAAUAGAGGGAGGAGAAGAGAAGAAAGGAGAGAUUGAGAGAUAGAAAUAGAGGGAGGAGAAGAGAAGAAAGGAGAGAUUGAGAGAUAGAAAUAGAGGGAGGAGAAAAGAAGAAAGGAGAGAUGGAUGUGGCCCUUCCUCUCUCUGUCCAUUUGUCUUUGAUCUCUCAGUCCAUCUGAAAGGGUCCUGCACCACACUGGGAAUAACAACCUCUACCCUCCCACCGCUGGACACACACACACACACA